CUUCAUCUGUCUCUUUCACCCGUCAUCCACCAUAAACGAUCCAAACCCGAUAAACCAACCUUCAUGUUCUCCGUCGAAACACCAUUUUUCCAUCUAAUUCCAAUUCCUCUCUCGUUAAGGAUAAGCAUAAUAUGCUCCUCUUUCCGCCACAUUCCCCGACUCGCUUUCCUUCUAUUCACAGUCCUUCUCCAAUUCUUCACCACCACCACCACCACCAGCUUAUCUUCCAACUGCCACUCUCUGCUACCAACUCAACAAUUCCAGUAACAACCGUCGCGGCUAAUUUGGCCGACCCUUAUGCCUCUUCUUUGAGACGAUUGGAUAAUGACCAAAAUGACGUCGAGGAUAUUCUCGCCCUCCAUAGCCGCCGUUAUGACUUCACUCCACUUCUUAACUUCCUGUCCAACAAAAUAUCAUCUUCGGAAGCUUCGACUGAGUCCGAGUCAACCUCACCGACAUCACUAGAUGCCGCGGAGUUCGAGCUUGCUGAGUCGUACAGAGCUGUGCCUGGUCCACUCUGGCACUCUGUUCUCAAAUCUCUAUGCUCUUCUUCGUCUUCAAUUGGCUUAGCAUAUGCCGUCGUUUCAUGGCUUCAGAAACACAACCUCUGUUUCUCGUACGAGCUACUCUAUUCGAUUCUAAUUCACGCACUUGGCCGCUCGGAGAAGUUAUACGAGGCGUUUUUGCUUUCUCAGAGGCAGACCUUAUCUCCUUUAACCUACAAUGCCUUAAUAAACGCCUGUGCCCGCAAUAACGAGCUUGAAAAGGCACUCAAUUUGAUUUCUAGAAUGCGCCAAGAUGGUUACCCAUCGGAUUUCGUUAAUUACAGCUUGAUUAUCCGGUCUCUUACGCGAUCAAACAAAAUCGAUUCCGUGAUUUUGCAAAAGAUUUAUAAUGAAAUUGAGUGUGAUAAACUCGAGCUUGACGUUCAGCUCUCGAACGAUAUAAUUGUCGGCUUUGCAAAGGCUGGUGAUCCAAGCCGGGCAAUGGAGUUUCUGGGCAUGGUUCAAGGCUGUGGAUUGAGUCCAAGAACCGCGACUCUUGUGGCAGUGAUAUCGGCUUUGGGAGAUUCAGGUAGGACUGUGGAAGCUGAAGCUAUCUUUGAAGAAAUGAAAGACAAUGGAUUGAAACCGAGGACUAGGGCUUAUAAUGCACUUCUUAAAGGGUAUGUGAAAGCUGGUUCACUUAAAGACGCAGAAUUUAUUGUUUCGGAGAUGGAGAAAACCGGGGUUUCACCAGAUGAACAUACUUAUAGUCUGCUAAUUGAUGCUUAUGCUAAUGCAGGAAGAUGGGAAAGCGCCAGAAUUGUGUUGAAGGAAAUGGAAGCGAGCAAUGUGAUGCCUAAUUCCUAUGUUUUCAGUAGAAUUUUAGCUAGCUAUCGCGAUAGAGGGGAAUGGCAAAAAUCCUUUCAGGUUUUGAGGGAAAUGAAAAACAUUGGAGUGCGCCCAGAUAGGCAUUUUUACAAUGUGAUGAUUGAUACUUUUGGCAAGUUUAAUUGCCUAGAUCAUGCAAUGGCUACUUUUGAUAGGAUGAUAUCUGAGGGUAUACAACCUGAUGCCGUCACCUGGAAUACACUUAUAGAUUCUCACUGUAAAGCAGAGCGGCAUGAUAGAGCAGAGGAGUUGUUUGAGGAAAUGAUGGAAAAAGGCUUCUCACCAUGUACCACCACAUUUAACAUUAUGAUUAAUUCAUUUGGGGAGCAACAGAGGUGGGAUGAUGUGAAGAGCUUGAUGGGGAAGAUGCGGAGUCUGGGUUUGUUGCCUAAUGCUGUGACAUAUACCACACUUGUUGAUAUUUAUGGGCAGUCCGGAAGAUUUAAUGAUGCAAUCGAGUGCUUAGAAGAUAUGAAGUCUGCGGGAUUGAAACCAUCCUCCACUAUGUACAACGCCUUGAUAAAUGCAUAUGCACAAAGGGGUUUAUCUGAGCAAGCAGUAAAUGCAUUUAGGGUAAUGAGAGCAGAUGGCCUAAAGCCUAGUCUUUUAGCGCUGAAUUCCUUGAUUAAUGCAUUUGGUGAGGAUAGGAGAGAUGCUGAAGCAUUUUCUGUGCUGCAGUACAUGAAGGAAAAUGAUUUGAAGCCAGAUGUGGUAACAUAUACUACACUUAUGAAAGCUCUGAUUCGUGUUGAUAAGUUCCAAAAGGUGCCAUCUGUGUACGAAGAAAUGAUUUUGGCUGGGUGCAUUCCAGACAGUAAAGCUAGAGCAAUGCUACGAUCUGCACUUAGAUACAUGAAGCAAACACUAAAAUUAUAGUUAAAAGAGGAUUUUCCUGCCAAGAUGAAGUGUAGGAUCAAUUCUCAUGGACUCAUGGCUAAGGCCGUUAUCAUUUGCCAACCUGAGGAAAAGACUUUAUGCUUGGGCAUUCAUAAUUUGGUAGAGAUUCUGGUCCAGUGACAAGGGAAUUCUGGAUCUAUAAACCAUAAUUUAAGAUCAAAAUGCAAAGAUUUUAGUACAUCUUUUAUUCAUCCGUUCUUAUAUAGAUUGUAAAGUUGUCUGUUUCAUACAAACACAAAAUGACACUCAUUUUGUUGUCAGCGUCAUGUAUUAUAAUUAUAUCAAUUGAGAUUUUGACAAUUCUAUUCUCUCUUGUAUCAUAUAAAGGGGAAUAAUGCGUUGACAUAA